GAUGAACGCUGGCGGCGUGCCUAAUACAUGCAAGUCGAGCGAACAGACGAUGAGCUUGCUCCUCUGACGUUAGCGGCUGACGGGUGAGUAACACGUGGAUAACCUACCUAUAAGACUGGGAUAACUUCGUGAAACCGGAUCUAAUACCGGAUAAUAUAUUGAACCGCAUGGUUCAAUAGUUAAAGACGGUUUUGCUGUCACUUAUAGAUGGAUCCGCGCCGCAUUAGCUAGUUGGUAAGGUAACGGCUUACCAAGGCGACGAUGCGUAGCCGACCUGAGAGGGUGAUCGGCCACACUGGAACUGAGGCACGGUCCAGACUCCUACGGGAGGCAGCAGUAGGGAAUCUUCCGCAAUGGGCGAAAGCCUGACGGAGCAACGCCGCGUGAGUGAUGAAGGUCUUCGGAUCGUAAAACUCUGUUAUUAGGGAAGAACAAAUGUGUAAGUAACUAUGCACGUCUUGACGGUACCUAAACAGAAAGCAACGGCUAACUACGUG
rnacentral:rRNA from 1 species